rnacentral:rRNA from 1 species
ACUUAGUGGCGAACGGGUGAGUAUUGCGUGGGUAACCUACCCUGGAGUGGGGGACAACAGUUGGAAACGACUGCUAAUACCGCAUAAGCCCACAGUACCGCAUGGUACAGAGGGAAAAGGAGCAAUUCGCUUCAGGAUGGACCCGCGUCUGAUUAGCUAGUUGGUGAGGUAACGGCCCACCAAGGCGACGAUCAGUAGCCGGACUGAGAGGUUGAUCGGCCACAUUGGGACUGAGAUACGGCCCAGACUCCUACGGGAGGCAGCAGUGGGGAAUAUUGCACAAUGGGGGAAACCCUGAUGCAGCGACGCCGCGUGGAGGAAGAAGGUCUUCGGAUUGUAAACUCCUGUUGUCAAGGACGAUAAUGACGGUACUUGACAAGAAAGCCACGGCUAACUACGUGCCAGCAGCCGCGGUAAAACGUAGGUGGCAAGCGUUGUCCGGAAUUACUGGGUGUAAAGGGAGCGCACGCGGACCGGCAAGUUGGAUGUGAAACCCACGGGCUCAACCCGUGGCCUGCAUCCAAAAACUGUCGGUCUUGAGUAGUGCAGAGGUAGGCGGAAUUCCCGGUGUAGCGGUGGAAUGCGUAGAUAUCGGGAGGAACACCAGUGGCGAAGGCGGCCUACUGGGCACCAACUGACGCUGAGGCUCGAAAGUAUGGGUAGCAAACAGGAUUAGAUACCCUGGUAGUCCAUACCGUAAACGAUGAUUACUAGGUGUUGGAGGAUUGACCCCUUCAGUGCCGCAGUUAACACAAUAAGUAAUCCACCUGGGGAGUACGGCCGCAAGGCUGAAACUCAAAGGAAUUGACGGGGGCCCGCACAAGCAGUGGAGUAUGUGGUUUAAUUCGAAGCAACGCGAAGAACCUUACCAGGUCUUGACAUCGAGUGAUGAACGCAGAGAUGCGUUUUUCCUUCGGGACACGAAGACAGGUGGUGCAUGGUUGUCGUCAGCUCGUGUCGUGAGAUGUUGGGUUAAGUCCCGCAACGAGCGCAACCCUUACUGUUAGUUACUACGCAAGAGGACUCUAGCAGGACUGCCGUUGACAAAACGGAGGAAGGUGGGGAUGACGUCAAAUCAUCAUGCCCUUUAUGACCUGGGCUACACACGUACUACAAUGGCGUUUAACUAAGAGAAGCAAUACCGCGAGGUGGAGCAAAACUCAAAAACAACGUCCCAGUUCAGACUGCAGGCUGCAACUCGCCUGCACGAAGUCGGAAUUGCUAGUAAUCGCGGAUCAGCAUGCCGCGGUGAAUACG